UACGAAGGGGGCUAGCGUUGCUCGGAAUCACUGGGCGUAAAGCGCACGUAGGCGGGUUGUUAAGUCGGGGGUGAAAUCCUGGAGCUCAACUCCAGAACUGCCUUCGAUACUGGCGACCUUGAGUCCGGGAGAGGUGAGUGGAACUCCGAGUGUAGCGGUGAAAUGCGUAGAUAUCGAGAGGAACACCUGCGGCGAAGGCGGGUUGCUGGGCUGACACUGACGCUGAGGCGCGAAAGCUAGGGGAGCGAACGGG
rnacentral:rRNA from 1 species